GAUGAACGCUAGCUACAGGCUUAACACAUGCAAGUCGAGGGGAAACGAUAUUGGAAGCUUGCUUCCGAUAGGCGUCGACCGGCGCACGGGUGAGUAACGCGUAUCCAACCUGCCCACCACUUGGGGAUAACAUUGCGAAAGUAAGACUAAUACCCAAUGAUAUCUCUAGAAGACAUCUGAAAGAGAUUAAAGAUUUAUCGGUGAUGGAUGGGGAUGCGUCUGAUUAGCUUGUUGGCGGGGUAACGGCCCACCAAGGCGACGAUCAGUAGGGGUUCUGAGAGGAAGGUCCCCCACAUUGGAACUGAGACACGGUCCAAACUCCUACGGGAGGCAGCAGUGAGGAAUAUUGGUCAGUGGGCGAGAGCCUGAACCAGCCAAGUAGCGUGCAGGAUGACGGCCCUAUGGGUUGUAAACUGCUUUUAUAAGGGAAUAAAGUGAGAGUCGUGACUCUUUUUGCAUGUACCUUAUGAAUAAGGACCGGCUAAUUCCGUGCCAGCAGCCGCAGUAAUAC
rnacentral:rRNA from 1 species